UUUCCCUAUGAUGCUUCAGUAUGAAACCAUGCUAAUGCUGAUGAGUCUGUGAUUGAUCCUUUUUUCAUCCAUUUGCUGAGGGAACG